CUUCAUCACUACAAAAACGACGCUCAAAUUCACAUAAAUAAUUUAAACACAAAACUGAAUAAGUCGUGAAAAAGUGAAAAAAUAAUAAAAAAUGUAUUUAUUUGUAUAAAAAUCUCAGAUUUCAUCUAUAAGAGCAAUAGCCGGAAAAAGAGGACUAAAAAAGGCCUUACAGACAUUUUGUCUCACAAAUUGUUGGUUGGCUUUAAUGUGGAAGGAAGUCAUAAUAAACAGAGACUUCUAAAUUACCCAAAAUUUGUUAAUAUACUAUUUCAAGGAACUUAUGAUGAGAAUAGUUCAGAAAAAUCUUUUAAGAAUACGUUAAGAGACGCUUUAAAGUUGGCCAAAAAUAGAUUUUUUAAAGAAAAAAAAAAUCUAUAGAAAAGGCAAACAAAUCUAUAGGCUCCCUCAAAGAUGGGGAUUCGGAAAAGGUCUUGCAACUCACAGACAAUGAGUUGGUAUUAAAAUACCCCUCAAUUUUUUAGUUCUCAACAAUUAUUUUUUUAUUUAAUUAAAUAUUGAAUUUGCUUUAUUUUGUACCUGUUUUUUUAGUUUUAAAAAAUAUUAUAUUAAAUAUAAUUAAAUUAUUCAUAUUUCUUACUUAUCAACAAUUUGUUUUGUAUAUAUUCAAAUAUUGAAUUAAAUUUAUUUUAUUUAUCCUAUUGAAUAUGUACCUCCAAUUGAAUAUGUACCUGUUUUUUAUUGAAUGAAAGCCUUUAAUUUUAAUAAAUAUUAAAUUAUUUAUAAUUAAAUAA